rnacentral:tRNA from 1 species
CAGAAUAUAGCUAAGAUAGUAAAGCAUUUCCCUUACACCGAAAAGUCGUCUGUGCAAAUCGGACUGUUCUGA